AAGCAUCCCAGAGUCCAGUCAGCAGACAGCAGAGGAGACUGUCAGCAGACCACCUUGGAGGGGAUGCUUGGAGCUGCCUAACGUGUGAUUCAAAGAUGAAUUCCAUGUGUUUGGAGAAGAAGCCCUAGCCUCAACACAAAGGUUGGCCACAUUCCAGCCAAGGUAGCACGGAGUGAAGGCCCAUGGAGGGAGAGCUGGGCUUUUCUGAACUACUUCAGUACACCUUGCUGUGCCUCGGCCUGCCGUGUUUCAUCCCCAUGGCUGUCCUCAGUGAUGUGCAUGGUCACUGCUCCCUUCACCACUGAGAAGACGGGCACAGGACGGUCAGGGGAUGUGUCCAAGGUCCCACAGCAGGAAGGGCUGGAGCCAGAAUGUGGUCUGAGAGGCUGGAUAUACAAAGAGACAAUGGUGUGACCAUCUGUACAAAUGGAACUAUGGCCCACAACCUGCAGCAGCCAGCCCAGGAAGCCAACCUGUCACCUGCAGUAGCCAGGAUGGAUGCUGGCCUGCCCUCAGGUGCCCUUGUUGGAGAACAUGGGAGGCCAAAAUCCAAACGUGGCAAGAGAUAACAAAUGACUUGUCUGGUGGCUGAACCCUGAGCUGGGAGCACUGCCUGGAGAAAACUGUUGUACUCACAUCAUUGGUCUUAUGGGGAAAUUUUAAGAACUCCCACUUGUAAGGUUUUAUAGCCCUCUAUGGAAUAUUGAAGAAAGAGUAAAAUGCAUCCAAAAAAAAAAACAAAAAACACUAAACUGGAUAAAUUCUAAGGCCUCUUCAGGUCUUAAGAUGGCCAUUUUCUAGGUCCUCUUGCUGCAGCAGUGAAAUCCACAAACACGGGCAAGUCAGUCAGUUACGUGCCUUUCAGAGAAAACUUCUGACUUAGGAACUCCAGCUAUUUGGCCCAACCCAUAUUAGAUUGUGUUAUAAAGACAUGGUAAAUUACAUCACGAAGGGAAGAGCAGAGGAAACAUAAUAUUCCUUCAAGACCCAUCAGCUCAGAUGUUAGCAGAACACCCCUAAGGAGGAAAACAAGAAAUUUUGGGUUUGAACUUGGUGCUUCCCAGCAGCCCUGGGAGUGGGGUCAGAAGCCCUGCUGGGGGGCGAAGAACUCUGAGGAUCAAAGAUGUUGAGCAUCACCUUAGAGGCCAAAGAUCAGAACAGCGGAGGUGGCCUUUGAAGCCCAACCUGUCUUUCACCAGAGAGUGAGAACGGCCUCUAUUUCCAGGAAGCUCACUGCAGCAAUAAUCACGAUGCUCUGAGCCUGACAAGGUGAGAAUUUACUUUCAGCACCUGCAAUAGUUUCCUAUUAAAGUUACAUAUGAAACCCUGCCGUCUUGUACCAACUAAUGUUCACACCAGCGUUCCUAUUUUCAAGAUAAAUUGCAAAAUAAAAACUCUUGUUUUUGUUAGCAAAAGAAAACUUCUUUAGGAGGAUAAAAGGGAGAUGAAGAAACAGAAAACACAUCAGCUCUCCAUCCAGAUUACAGAAAGCAGAAAACAUCCUGAAGUGAAUAACAUAGGAAUCACUCUUUUUCCCCCCUGAGAUAGCAGGUUACUUAUGAGAAACAAGCUUGAAAUCUCUGCACCUGGACCAGCUUCCAGAGGCUUUUGUCCUGACCAGGUGAGAGGGAAAAAAAAAAAAAAAAAAAAAACUGAUGGUCGGUCAGUGGGUAAACAGUGACACCCAGUGGUCACUUAGAUAACCAGCUGUGCAUUCUCCCAAUUCAACUAUCCACAUAGAAAAAAAAAUGGUCAAGUAGUAUGCAUUUUGUUAUUCAACAGAUAUUUACUGAAUAACUAGAAGAUGCUAGAUGCUAUUCUAUUCAUUUUAUACCACUCUUCAAAUUACGGAUGUUUCCCCACCGAAACCGACCCUCACAAAAGAAAAACUAUCUGGGGCCUUGGAUCCUCUUUCAAAGGCUCAAGGUGAGACCCACGGAGAGGGGUCAGCAAAUUCCAAAGGAGAUGAAGGGCUUUUCCCAGGGUCACAACCAAAUCAAGGCGCCACGUGGCAGCCAAGCACGAGUCUCCAGAGGCUUCUCUCAGCGCUCCCAUGGGAAAGGGUUUGUGCAUGUUGGGUUCAGGCCACGUGAGCACUGCAGGCGUUGAUCAUAGUAUUAAUACAAGGAUAAUUGCUCUUCCUGGCUUUCUUUGACUAACCUCCAUAACUUGGUUAAGCCAUGUUAUCUUCUACUUUUAUGAUGAGUAAAUUGUCAUUUUCA